GCAAUACGAAGUAUCCUAGUGGCGAACGGGUGAGUAACGCGUUGGUGACCUACCCCAAAGUGUGGGAUAACAGUUCGAAAGGACUGCUAAUACCGCAUGUGGUUAUCGGAUUUAGAAACUGAUAACUAAAGGAGCAAUUCGCUUUGGGAGGGACCUGCGUCCCAUCAGCUAGUUGGUGAGGUAAUGGCUCGCCAAGGCUACGACGGGUAGGGGACCUGAGAGGGUGACCCCCCACAAUGGAACUGAAACACGGUCCAUACACCUACGGGUGGCAGCAGUAGGGAAUAUUGCACAAUGGGCGAAAGCCUGAUGCAGCAACGCCGCGUGUGCGAUGAAGGCCUUCGGGUCGUAAAGCACUUUUCUGAGGGAUGAGCAAGGACAGUACCUCAGGAAUAAGUCUCGGCUAACUACGUGCCAGCAGCCGCGGUAAAACGUAGGAGGCGAGCGUUAUCCGGAUUCACUGGGCGUAAAGCGCGUGCAGGUGGCUUGGUAAGUUAGGCGUGAAAUCUCCCGGCUCAACUGGGAGAGGUCGUCUAAUACUACCGGGCUUGAGAGCAGAAGAGGAAGAUGGAAUUCCCGGUGUAGUGGUGAAAUGCGUAGAUAUCGGGAGGAACACCAGUGGCGAAGGCGAUCUUCUGGUCUGUUUCUGACACUCAGACGCGACAGCUAGGGUAGUAAACGGGAUUAGAGACCCCAGUAAUCCUAGCCGUAAACGAUGUAAACUUGGCGUUGGUGGGUUAAACUCCAUCAGUGCCGC
rnacentral:rRNA from 1 species